rnacentral:rRNA from 1 species
AUUGAACGCUGGCGGCAGGCCUAACACAUGCAAGUCGAGCGGAUGAAGGGAGCUUGCUCCUGGAUUCAGCGGCGGACGGGUGAGUAAUGCCUAGGAAUCUGCCUGGUAGUGGGGGAUAACGUCCGGAAACGGGCGCUAAUACCGCAUACGUCCUGAGGGAGAAAGUGGGGGAUCUUCGGACCUCACGCUAUCAGAUGAGCCUAGGUCGGAUUAGCUAGCUGGUGGGGUAAAGGCCUACCAAGGCGACGAUCCGUAACUGGUCUGAGAGGAUGAUCAGUCACACUGGAACUGAGACACGGUCCAGACUCCUACGGGAGGCAGCAGUGGGGAAUAUUGGACAAUGGGCGAAAGCCUGAUCCAGCCAUGCCGCGUGUGUGAAGAAGGUCUUCGGAUUGUAAAGCACUUUAAGUUGGGAGGAAGGGCAGUAAGUUAAUACCCUGCUGUUUUGACGUUACCAACAGAAUAAGCACCGGCUAACUUCGUG